GGGAGGGAUUUGGGUCCCUGGAAAAAGGGCUGUGGGGAUUUGGGGUCAGGACUCGGCCAUGGAGUGGUGGGGCCGUGGUUGGACAGCCCCCACGCGAGGGGUGGCAAUGUGCACUGCGUCACUCGUGUGAAUGGGGACACAGUGCCACGGGUGAUGGAGGGAGGGUUGGGGACACCGCGUCCUGCAGGAGCCGUGCAGUGUCACCGCAUCCCCGGCGUCCCCUCCCAAAGCACGAGGGCUGCAUUGGCCCCAUGGCCACCGCGUGCCACCGGAGCACCGGGACGGGGACAUGGGGCACUGAACUCUCAAUAGACCACGAAAGCCAUAUUAGUGCGGAGCUCUGAGCGCCGUGGGGCGGCCGUGGGGCGGAGGACGGGCUGUGUUGUUGUGCUGUGUUCUUGUAUGUACAUAAAGGGAGACAACGAACGUCGGUGUUACUUUAUAACCUUUCUAAUAUCCUGUGCUAAUCUCGGAAAAAUAAUCCUAUAAAAUAUAUCUGGAUUACACACCU
rnacentral:lncRNA from 7 species